AUGGCAUUCGAGCAGAGCGCGCAGAAUACAUCGUGUGCAACCCCGCGACCGAGAAGGUCUGGGCCGCGCUGCCACUGCCCGAUAGCCAUGACACACCAUGUCCUCGGUUUCACGGCCGCACCAUUUGCUUGUGUUUUGACCCCACCGUUCCUUCUUGCUUCACAGUGUUUGUCAUCAAUGAUAAUGGUCACGCCAUAA
rnacentral:rRNA from 1 species